UACGUAGGGUGCAAGCGUUGUCCGGAAUUAUUGGGCGUAAAGAGCUCGUAGGCGGUUUGUCGCGUCGAAUGUGAAAACCCGGGGCUCAACCCCGGGCCUGCAUUCGAUACGGGCAGACUAGAGUUCGGUAGGGGAGUCUGGAAUUCCUGGUGUAGCGGUGAAAUGCGCAGAUAUCAGGAGGAACACCGGUGGCGAAGGCGGCCUGCUGGGACAUGGCUGACGCUGAGGCGCGACAGCGUGGGGAGCAAACAGG
rnacentral:rRNA from 1 species